rnacentral:rRNA from 1 species
UAUCGGCCAAUCGCCUUGAGUUGAUCUGGCUCAGAAUCAACGCUGGCGGCGUGCCUAACACAUGCAAGUCGAACGCGAAAGUCCCGCAAGGGAUGAGUAGAGUGGCAAACGGGUGAGUAACGCGUGGGUGACCUGCCUUCGAGCGGGGGAUAACGUUCCGAAAGGGACGCUAAUACCGCAUGACAUCCUGCCUUUAAAGAGGCGGAGAUCAAAGCUGGGGAUCGCAAGACCUAGCGCUUGAAGAGGGGCCCGCGUCCGAUUAGCUAGUUGGUGGGGUAACGGCUCACCAAGGCAACGAUCGGUAGCCGGCCUGAGAGGGCGGACGGCCACACUGGGACUGAGACACGGCCCAGACUCCUACGGGAGGCAGCAGUGGGGAAUUGUUCGCAAUGGGCGCAAGCCUGACGACGCAACGCCGCGUGGAGGAUGAAGAUCUUCGGGUCGUAAACUCCUUUCGAUCGAGACGAAUUCCUCUGGGGUGAACAAUCCCGGAGGUUGACGGUACCGAGAGAAGAAGCCCCGGCUAACUCCGUGCCAGCAGCCGCGGUAAUACGGGGGGGGCAAGCGUUGUUCGGAAUUACUGGGCGUAAAGGGCUCGUAGGCUGCCAACUAAGUCAGACGUGAAAUCCCUCGGCUUAACCGGGGAACUGCGUCUGAUACUGGAUGGCUUGAGUUUGGGAGAGGGAUGCGGAAUUCCAGGUGUAGCGGUGAAAUGCGUAGAUAUCUGGAGGAACACCGGUGGCGAAGGCGGCA